rnacentral:rRNA from 1 species
GACCUCAAAUCAGGUAGGGCUACCCGCUGAACUUAAGCAUAUCAAUAAGCGGAGGAAAAGAAACUAACAAGGAUUCCCCUAGUAGCGGCGAGCGAACCGGGACGAGCUCAAAUUUGAAAUCUGGCGCCCUCCGGGCGUCCGAGUUGUAAUCUACAGAAGCGUCUUCCGCGCCGGACCGUGUCCAAGUCCCUUGGAACAGGGUAUCAAAGAGGGUGACAAUCCCGUGCUUGACACGACGACCGGUGCUCUGUGAUGCGCUCUCCACGAGUCGAGUUGUUUGGGAAUGCAGCUCAAAACGGGUGGUAAAUUCCAUCUAAAGCUAAAUAUUGGCAAGAGACCGAUAGCGAACAAGUACCGUGAGGGAAAGAUGAAAAGCACUUGGAAAGAG